rnacentral:misc_RNA from 1 species
GAUGAAGAACGUAGUGAAAUGCGACAAGUAAUGUGAAUUGCAGAAUUCAGUGAAUCAUCGAAUCUUUGAACGCACAUUGCGCCCCUUGGUAUUCCGAGGGGCAUGCCUGUUCGAGCGUCAUUAUAACCCCUCAAGCUCAGCUUGGUGUUGGGGCCUGCUGCACUGGCAGCCCUUAAAAUCAGUGGCGGCGCCAUCUGGCUCUAAGCGUAGUAAUUCUUCUCGCUAUGGAGUCCUGGUGGAUGCUUGCCAUCAACCCCCAAUUUUUCUAUGGUUGACCUCGGAUCAGGUAGGGAUACCCGCUGAACUUAAGCAUAUCAAUAAGCGGAGGA